AAGUCGUAACAAGGUUUCCGUAGGUGAACCUGCGGAAGGAUCAUUAACACGUAUCCAAACGUUAAAACCCCCCCCGUGAACUUUCAAUCCUGCUCUUGUAACCCGCGUAGUUCCGCAAUCUCUGGUAAAUCAUAGCCCGGAAAGUUGUUUUGAUUCAGAGACCUCUGGCUACGUGAGAACAAUGGAACAGUUACAAUCGAGCGGUAGUUUCAUAGGCAUUGUUUCCCCAAGCAGUCAGUGUUCCCCAUGCCCCCUUACAACCCCACAGUUUAAUGUAAAGCUCAAUGUAAUACAUUGGGUAAAAAAACCGAACAACUGUUAACAAUGGAUAUCUUGGUUCUC
rnacentral:misc_RNA from 1 species